rnacentral:rRNA from 1 species
AUUGAACGCUGGCGGCAGGCCUAACACAUGCAAGUCGAACGAGUGGCGGACGGGUGAGUAAUGUCUGGGAAACUGCCCGAUGGAGGGGGAUAACUACUGGAAACGGUAGCUAAUACCGCAUACAAUCGGAUGGGCCCAGAGGGGAUUGGCUGGUGGGUGGGGUAAGGGCUCACCUAGGCGACGAUCCCUAGCUGGCAUGAGAGGAUGACAAGCCACACUGGAACUGAGACACGGUCCAGACUCCUACGGGAGGUAGUAUUGGGGAAUAUUGCACACUGGGCGCAAGCCUGAUGCAGCCAUGCCGCGUGUAUGAAGAAGGCCUUCGGGUUGUAAAGUACUUUCAGCGAGGAGGCGUUACUCGCAGAAGAAGCACCGGCUAACUCCGUGCCAGCAGCCGCGGUAAUAC